UACCUGGUAAUAACCUGGUUAUUACCUGGUUAUUACCUGGUUAUAACCUGAGACAUUACCUGGUUAUAACCUGGUUAUAACCUAGUUAUAACCUGGUUUUAACC